rnacentral:rRNA from 1 species
ACGUAGGAGGCGAGCGUUAUCCGGAUUUACUGGGUGUAAAGCGCGUGCAGGCGGUUCUGCAAGUGGGACGUGAAAGCGCCCGGCUCAACCGGGCGAGGACGUACCGAACUGCGGGACUAGAGGCAGGGAGAGGCGUGUGGAAUUCCGGGUGUAGUGGUGAAAUGCGUAGAGAUCCGGAGGAACACCAGUGGCGAAGGCGACACGCUGGGCCUGGCCUGACGCUCAGACGCGAAAGCAUGGGGAGCGAACGG